rnacentral:rRNA from 1 species
GCCUACGGGGCGCAGCAGUGGGGAAUAUUGCGCAAUGGGGGCAACCCUGACGCAGCAACGCCGCGUGCAGGAAGAAGGUCUUCGGAUUGUAAACUGUUGUCGCAGGGGAAGAAGACAGUGACGGUACCCUGUGAGAAAGUCACGGCUAACUACGUGCCAGCAGCCGCGGUAAUACGUAGGUGACAAGCGUUGUCCGGAUUUACUGGGUGUAAAGGGAGCGUAGACGGCAGGGCAAGUCUGGAGUGAAAGCCCGGGGCCCAACCCCGGGACUGCUUUGGAAACUGCCAUGCUAGAGUGCUGGAGAG